rnacentral:rRNA from 1 species
UACGAGGGGGGCGAGCGUUGUUCGGAAUUACUGGGCGUAAAGCGUGCGUAGGUGGUUCGUUAAGUCCGUUGUGAAAGCCCCGAGCUCAACUUGGGAAUUGCAGUGGAUACUGGCGAGCUAGAGUGCGGUAGAGGAAGGUGGAAUUCCCGGUGUAGCGGUGAAAUGCGUAGAGAUCGGGAGGAACACCAGUGGCGAAGGCGGCCUUCUGGACCAGCACUGACACUCAAGCACGAAAGCGUGGGGAGCAAACAGG